rnacentral:sRNA from 1 species
GCUUUCGCAAAAUCGGAAGCCGAGCGUGGAAACUCGAAUUUACUAUCGGCGAAUAAUAGCACGCCUUUAACUCGUGCUUUUUUU